rnacentral:snRNA from 1 species
GUCGCUUAUCUGCCUUUUGGCUAAGAUCAAGUGUAGUAUCUGUUCUUAUUGGUGGGGGAGUCCUAGCUAAGGGAUGUGCUUUGGUAACCCCUUCAUUGGUGAGGCAGAGAAACACUUGAUCCUAUAUCCAAAGGCCAGCAUUUUUCUUUUACCUCCUUAUGGAGGCACUUAGCACUUCUUUAACUCUUUGCACUUUUGGAUGUGGUAUGCUAGCCUUC